UCCUCUCUGGAAAUACUGAGUCUAACAGCAUCGCUCUGAAUGCAAACAUCUCAGGAUAUCUGGUCUGCUCUGUCAGGAAUCACGUCAGUAGUGUUUGUGGCCUCAUAUUCAGUCACUGCACCUCGUCCAGUGGAACACAAAUGUCAAAGUGGGUGCAUGAAUCCAAUAGGAACGUGUGUUUUCAACCACCAAGUGCCCCUACCAUGAAUCAGUCUCUGCUCGUAUGUGGUUUGCAAGCAGGAGUGUUCAUUCUGUCGGUAGCUGCGAUUUACGUCUUUUUCACCUGCAAGAGAAAGAAAUGCAAGAAAGCUGAAGCCCCUGCUGUCGCACAAACCACCGAAUAUCCAGAGAACUCUGUUGUGAUGGUUGAAAUGUGAAGUUCUGCAUCUUAAACUCACGUCACGUUUUACCUGCUGUGAUUUGUCACGUGCCUUCCUGGGUGAGAAAAUAGUGACUUUCUGUCCUGGUUUCAUUCUUGUCAUAGCUUAGUAGCUCACUAUUAAUUCCCACAUGAACGUUCUGUGAGUGUUUUCUGAAUCUGUACCACUGUGGAGCUCUGAUCCAGCAAAGGUUUUGUAUACAGUGAUCACAGGUGGAACAGUCUGGCUCUUUUUAUUUGUCACUUUACUGGCUGUUGAUGAAAGUGGAAUCAGAGUGUGAUUUAAUUAGAAAUAAUCAAGGAGGAAAGAUUGACUUCUUGUAAACUGUUCAGAGCACAACCACAUUUGAACAGUGAUUAAACAUCCAGAUGCCCACAGUGCCACCUGUGAUCCCAGAACAGAGAACACACUGUGGUCAGUGUGUUGUUCAAAACAUUUCUCUUUCAUCACUGCUGAAUUCAAUCCAGACAACAACACAUUUAAGUGUAAGUGUACAUAUCAUAUGGUGUCAACUUUUGUUUUCAAAAUCUGUCAGCAUUUAAUAAUCCAGUCUGCAGCUUAGUGUGAUUUUGUUGUAUAAUGAAAGUAAUAAUAAAAUAAUUACAUGGUA